rnacentral:rRNA from 1 species
UGGGGAAUAUCGGACAAUGGGCGAAAGCCUGAUCCAGCCAUGCCGCGUGUGUGAAGAAGGUCUUCGGAUUGUAAAGCACUUUAAGUUGGGAGGAAGGGCAGUAAGCGAAUACCUUGCUGUUUUGACGUUACCGACAGAAUAAGCACCGGCUAACUCUGUGCCAGCAGCCGCGGUAAUACAGAGGGUGCAAGCGUUAAUCGGAAUUACUGGGCGUAAAGCGCGCGUAGGUGGUUCGUUAAGUUGAAUGUGAAAGCCCCGGGCUCAACCUGGGAACUGCAUCCAAAACUGGCGAGCUAGAGUAGGGCAGAGGGUGGUGGAAUUUCCUGUGUAGCGGUGAAAUGCGUAGAUAUAGGAAGGAACACCAGUGGCGAAGGCGACCACCUGGGCUGAUACUGACACUGGGGUGGGAAAGCGUGGGGAGCAAACAGG